rnacentral:rRNA from 1 species
UACGUAGGAUGCUAGCGUUGUCCGGAUUUACUGGGCGUAAAGCGCGCGCAGGCGGCACUGUAAGUAAGGUGUGAAAUAUCCCUGCUCAACGGGGAGGGUGCACUUUAGACUGCAGAGCUAGAGGACGGUAGAGGGGGGUGGAAUUGCUGGUGUAGCGGUGAAAUGCGUAGAGAUCAGCAGGAACACCCGUGGCGAAGGCGGCCCCCUGGGCCGAACCUGACGCUGAGGCGCGAAGGCUAGGGGAGCGAACGGG